rnacentral:rRNA from 1 species
CAGCAGCCGCCGCGGUAAUACGGAGGGUGCAAGCGUUAAUCGGAAUUACUGGGCGUAAAGCGCACGCAGGCGGUUUGUUAAGUCAGAUGUGAAAUCCCCGAGCUUAACUUGGGAACUGCAUUUGAAACUGGCAGGCUAGAGUCUUGUAGAGGGGGGUAGAAUUCCAGGUGUAGCGGUGAAAUGCGUAGAGAUCUGGAGGAAUACCGGUGGCGAAGGCGGCCCCCUGGACAAAGACUGACGCUCAGGUGCGAAAGCGUGGGGAGCAAACAGGAUUAGAUACCCCUGUAGUCCCUGUCUCUUAUAC